rnacentral:rRNA from 1 species
UACGUAGGGCGCAAGCGUUAUCCGGAAUUAUUGGGCGUAAAGAGCUCGUAGGUGGUUUGUCGCGUUGUUCGUGAAAACCGGGGGCUUAACCCUCGGCGUGCGGGCGAUACGGGCAGACUGGAGUACUGCAGGGGAGACUGGAAUUCCUGGUGUAGCGGUGGAAUGCGCAGAUAUCAGGAGGAACACCGGUGGCGAAGGCGGGUCUCUGGGCAGUAACUGACGCUGAGGAGCGAAAGCGUGGGGAGCGAACAGG